rnacentral:snoRNA from 1 species
CCCAUCGAUGAUGGCGAGCUGAUCUCCUUCAUUGUUGCGGGCCUGGACAUGGAGUACCAGGCUAUCGUCUCCAUGCUGGAUGUCUCCCCCGUCCCAAUUACUGUUGAUC